GAUGAACGCUGGCGGCGUGCCUAAUACAUGCAAGUCGAGCGAACGGACGAGAAGCUUGCUUUUCUGAUGUUAGCGGCGGACGGGUGAGUAACACGUGGAUAACCUACCUAUAAGACUGGGAUAACUUCGGGAAACCGGAGCUAAUACCGGAUAAUAUUUUGAACCGCAUGGUUCAAUAGUGAAAGACGGUCUUGCUGUCACUUAUAGAUGGAUCCGCGCUGCAUUAGCUAGUUGGUAAGGUAACGGCUUACCAAGGCAACGAUGCGUAGCCGACCGGAGAGGGUGAUAGGCCACACUAGAACGGAGACACGGUCAAUACGCCUACGAGAGGCAGCAGUAGGGAAUCGUCCGCAAUGGGCGAAAGCCUUGCGGAGCGACGCCGCGUGAGUGAUGAAGGUCUUCGGAUCGGAAAACUCUGUUAUGAGGGAAGAACAGAUGUGUAAGUAACUGUGCACAGAUUGACGGUACCUAAUCAGAAAGCAACGGCUAACUACGUG
rnacentral:rRNA from 1 species